UACGUAGGGUGCAAGCGUUAUCCGGAAUUAUUGGGCGUAAAGAGCUCGUAGGCGGUUUGUCGCGUCUGCUGUGAAAACUGGAGGCUCAACCUCCAGCCUGCAGUGGGUACGGGCAAACUAGAGUGCGGUAGGGGAGAUUGGAAUUCCUGGUGUAGCGGUGAAAUGCGCAGAUAUCGGGAGGAACACCGGUGGCGAAGGCGGUUCUCUGGGCCUUACCUGACACUGAGGAGCGAAAGCGUGGGGAGCAAACAGG
rnacentral:rRNA from 1 species